GACGAACGCUGGCGGCGUGCUUAACACAUGCAAGUCGAACGAAGUGGCGAACGGGUGAGUAAUACGUGAGUAACCUGCCCUCCUUUUUGGGAUAAGCCUUGGAAACGGGGUCUAAUACCCAAUAAAGGGGGAUGGGCUCGCGGCCUAUCAGCUUGUUGGGGGGGUGAUGGCCUACCAAGGCGGUGGCGGGUAGCCGGCCUGAGAGGGUGAUCGGGCAAACUGGGAAUGGGAAAACGCCCAAGACCCUACGGGGAGGAGCAGUAGGGGAUCUUGGGCAAUGGGGGGAACCCUGACCGAAGAAAGGCGCGGGAGUGAAGGAGGGUUUCAGGUCGUAAAGCUACGUUGUAGGGGAACCGGUACUUAACCAGAAAGGGACGGCUAACUACGUGCCAGCAGCCGCGGUAAUAC
rnacentral:rRNA from 1 species